GCCCAGUGCUCUGAAUAUCAACGUGAAGAAAUUCAAGCAAGCGCAGAUAAACGGC
rnacentral:rRNA from 1 species